rnacentral:rRNA from 1 species
ACGAACGCUGGCGGCGUGCUUAACCCAUGCCAGUCGCACGGAAAGGCCCUGCUUGCAGGGUACUCGAGUGGCGAACGGGUGAGUAACACGUGGGUGAUCUGCCCUGCACUUCGGGAUAAGCCUGGGAAACUGGGUCUAAUACCGGAUAGGAGCCAUUUUUAGUGUGAUGGUUGGAAAGUUUUUUCGGUGUAGGAUGAGCUCGCGGCCUAUCAGCUUGUUGGUGGGGUAAUGGCCUACCAAGGCGGCGACGGGUAGCCGGCCUGAGAGGGUGGACGGCCACAUUGGGACUGAGAGACGGCCCAGACUCCUACGGGAGGCAGCAGUGGGGAAUAUUGCACAAUGGGCGCAAGCCUGAUGCAGCGACGCCGCGUGGGGGAUGACGGCCUUCGGGUUGUAAACGCCUUUCGCUAGGGACGAAGCUUUUUGUGACGGUACCUAGAUAAGAAGCACCGGCUAACUACGUG